CCUGUUUAUUUGCAGCCUAGUUACCCGGUCGGGCGAGUAACCGGGCAGAGCCGAGUUCUUGUCUGUUCUAGCCGGGUAACUCGGCUCCAUAUAAACAGGCCCUAAGUUACGGGAAUAAAUUCUUAUCUUCAAGAUCUCCGGAUACACGAACAUUUAUAUAUAAGCUUUCAUCAAAUGGUGCUAAGAAAAGCCAACCUUAUAAUAUAUGCAGAAUGGAGGUAAUACUUUGUGUUAGUCCGAUAAUGCGAUUUCUAAAAAGAUUUUCAUUUUCAACAUGGCCACAUGGUGUGCUUGUGGAAGGUGAAGGUUUUUAAAAUCUUUUUGAGACAACUUUAUGCAUCUUGUGUAAAUAUCUGGAGUUUAUGAACUUAAUUUUGGUGGCAUUUGAGAAAUCCUCUCGUCACUUUAUUCGAGAUAAUACCGUCCUUUCAGUCUUUCUUGGUGGUUCGUGGCUCUAAUUUUCGUCAUAUUUCAAGAUAAAAAUUUAUCUUGCUGAGUAAAAGCCAAUUCAUUACUUGUGAUGAUACUGAUGGUAACCCCAGUGGCUAGUGUUGUGGCUAGUGUUGGUGAUGAUCUGAUGAUAAGAACUUGUAGAUGACCAAUCAACUUCAGUAUGAAGAAUUCGAGUCUUAGAAUCAAUCAAGUAAUGAUAAUGAAGAUGAUGAUGAUGGAAUCAAUAAUGUUUCAUUUACAUGUAUUAUGGAACAGAAAGUUCCAUGGAAACAUGUAUUGUUGAAAAAUCAUUUUAACAUCGUCAAGUGUAGGCCUUCUUUAUUGGCAAACCAUGGAGGAAGAAUACUAUGUUGGCACAUUAUGAUUCAUGUGAUACAUCAUUGUCGUGGAUUAAGCAAUAGUUCUCUUUGAUCACAAUCCUAGUCAUCUAUGGUUGUCGUCAUUUUUCAUCAUUGUUGUCGUGGAUUUUAGUUAAUCUUUGGUUAAUCUUUCGAGGAAUAUGUUAAUCUACGAAUGAAGGCCAACGAAGACGUUUCAGGUUUGUAGUGUUUUAGUUAAAAUCCUGGUGAUCAGUAACAACAGGAAGAUGAUUGAACAUUGGCAGAGUUGUUUAAAGAAGUUGUUCUUUUGAAUCCUGUUAGUGUUUUUUGUUGUUUAUGGCGGUAUAGCUAUUUGUCCGAUACCGCCAGAGUCUGAUAGUCGGUUUUCACAAGUUUUUCGUUCUUUCAUCACCACGUUACACGUUCCUCAGUUCAAGGAAAUAAGCAUUGGUUUCUUUGAACUUUGGUUGCGUGUAUUAGUUCUUAGAAUUGAAACAAGGUAUGUUUUUAUUGCAAUAUUAAUAAAUUUCUAUGAAUUUAACUGAAAGGAAUCAAAAUCUAUAUGCAUGAAUUAUAGUGCAACGUUUGCAACUAAACUACGGUUUGCAUCUUGAAAAACAAUUUUCAACUUA